CCGGGUGGAUCGCCGAAUCCUGCCGCCGCCCGGAAACCGCACCCGAACCAUUUCGCGCGGCAGGAGCGGGGGAACCAGGUAAGCCGCUGUUCCGGAGAUCCUUUUCCGGUACGGCUCGGGGUGAAGCCGCACAUGUCCCGUACACGUGCGGCCGGACAUCUCCAGUCCGAACCCGACAGCUCACCUCGCAGGCGCCGGAGAGGAAUG
rnacentral:sRNA from 2 species